GACGUAGGGCGCGAGCGUUGUCCGGAUUUACUGGGCGUAAAGAGCGCGCAGGCGGUCGUUCAAGUCGAGUGUGAAAGCCCCCGGCUCAACUGGGGAGGGUCACUCGAUACUGAUCGACUUGAAGGCAGGAGAGGGAAGCGGAAUUCCCGGUGUAGUGGUGAAAUGUGUAGAUAUCGGGAGGAACACCAGUGGCGAAGGCGCUUUCUGGCCUGUUCUUGACGCUGAGGCGCGAAAGCUAGGGUAGCAAACGGG
rnacentral:rRNA from 1 species